AUGAUUAUGUCGGUGGGCACUAACUGAACCUGGGGAAACUGGGAACAACCUCAAAACCAAAACCAGCCACAGCACAAGCAGUGGCCACAGGCCACUGCAGAAGAAAUUCAACUUGCACAGUUGAUUUCAGACCAUAAUGAUGAGACUUUGAGGAAAAGGUGAAAAGAUUGAUAUUACGGGCAAGAACCAGGAUGAAUGUGUAAUUGCUUUGCACAACUGCAAAGGAGAUGUCAACAGAGCCAUCAAUGUUCUUCUGGAAGGAAACCCAGACACGCAUUCCUGGGGCCAGAAGGACGGCAGCCAGAUGGAAUACAAUGAGGAAGGCAAAGAAAAUCGAGACCGGAACAGAGACUAUAGUCAGCUACGUGGUGGGCCACCAAGAUGGGGGAGAGCUGUGGUUUGAGGUCAGGAAAAUGGAUUGGAUGGCACCAACAGUGGAGGGCCUUCUGGAAGAGGAACGGAAACAGGAAGAAGGGGCCGUGGCCAAGGCAGAUGUGGCUCUGGUAGGCGAGGAGAAAGUUUUUCUGCUCAAGGAAUGGGAACUUUUAACCCAGCUGAUUAUGCAGAGCCAGCCAAUACUCAUGAUAACUAUGGCAAUAGUAGCAGCAAUACAUAGAACAACACUGGCCACUUUGAACCAGAUGAUGAGACGAGACUUGAUUUCAUUGGGGUUGAGGGGUCAAAUUAUCCCCGAAAAUUUCAGACUGGGAGGACUGCAACAGAGGAAUGGGGGACUGAAGAUUGGAAUGAAGAUCUUUCUGAGACCAAGAUCUUCACUGCCUCUAAUGUGUCUUCAGUGCCUCUGCCUGUGGAGAAUGUGACAAUCACUGCUGGUCAGAGAAUUGACCUUGCUGUUCUUCUCGGGAAGACACCAUCUACAAUGGAGAAUGAUUCAUCUAAUCUGGAUCCAUCUCAGGCUCCUUCUCUGGCCCAGCCUCUGGUGUUCAGCAACUCAAAGCAGACUCCACAACACAGCCGGCUUCAGGGAACACAUUUUCUCAUCACAGUAUGGUGAGCCUGCUGGGGAAAGGAUUUGGUGAUGGUGAAUGAAGCUAAAGGCGGCAGUACUACGGGCUCCCAGUUCUUGGAGCAAUUCAAGACUGCUCAAGCCCUGGCUCAGUUGGCAGUUCAGCAUUCUUAGACUGGAAGCACCACCACCUCCUCUUGGGACAUGGGCUUGAUGACACAAUCCCCAAAUGAUUCAACAGUGCACAGCCCCUUUAUAAAGCGCCAGGCUUUUACCCCAUCUUCAACCAUGAUGGAGGUGUUCCUUCAGGAGAAGUCACCUGCAGUGGCUACCUCCACAGCUGCACCUCCACCUCAGUCUUCUCCUCUGCCAAGGAAAUCCACAUCGGCUCCAUCGAUGUCACCUAGAUCUUCAGACAACCAGUCCUCUAGCCCUAGCCAGCUCAGAAAAAGCUGAAACAGCAGGAGAAAAAAGCCUCCUUGACUUCUAAGAUUCCUGCUCUGGCUGUGGAGAUGCCUGGCUCAGCAGCUAUCUCAGGGCUAAACCUGCAGUUUGGGGCAUUGCAGUUUGGGUCAGAGCCAGUCCUUUCUGAUUAUGAGUCCACCCCUACCACGAGCGCCUCUUCAAGCCAGCUCCAGUAGCCUAUAUACCAGCACGGCCAGCGAAUCUUCAUCUACAAUUUGAUCUAACCAGAGUCAAGGAGUCGUUAUCAGAGUGGCCCAAUUCAGUCGACAACCUAUACCUCCCAAAAUAAUGCUCAGGGCCCUCUUUAUGAACAGAGAUCCACACAGACUCGGUGGUACCUCAGCUCCAUCUCUUCAUCACCCCAAAAGGACCUGACUCAGGCAAAGAAUGGCUUCAGUUCUGUGCAGGCCACACAAUUACGGACCACUCAAUCUGUUGAAGGUGCUACAAGCUCUGCAGUAAAAUCUGAUUUACCCUCCACUUCUAGCAUCCCCGCUCUCAAUGAAAUGGUAUCUGCACCUUCCUUAGUGACAACAACCAAUCUGCACUCAUCCUCCUUGGGUGGCUUGAGCCACAGUGAGGAGAUUCGAAAUACUAACACCACACAACACAGCAGCACAUUAUCUACGCAGCAGAAUACCCUUUCGUCAUCAACAUCUUCUGGGCACACUUCAACAUCCACUCUUUUGCACACAAGCAUGGAGAGUGAAACGAAUCUCUAUUCUUCCUCCAGCUCUCUGCACCUCCCCCAGUGGUCAGUGUCUCCUCCACUCUCAAUAGUGGCAGUAGUCUGGGUCUCAGCCUAGGCUGCAACUCCCCUGUCACAGCCUCGACUCGAAGUUCAGUUGCCACGACUUCAGGAAAAGCUCCUCCCAGCCUCCCUCCUGGGGUCCCACCGUUGUUGCCUAAUCCGUGUAUUGUGGCUCCAGGGCUGUUACAUGCCUAUCCGCCACAAGUAUAUGGUUAUGAUGACUUGCAGAUGCUUCAAACAAGAUUUCCAUUGUAUUACUACAGCAUCCUAUUUCCCACACUCACUACUCCGCUGACUGGGGGGGAUGGUAGCCUGGCCGGCAACCCUUAUUCUGGUGACCUCACAAAGUUCGGCCUUUGGGAUGCCUCCUCCCCAGCCCCGGCCACAACCUUGGCCCAACCCCAACAGAACCAGACGCAGAAUCACCACACCACGCAGGAGACAUUCCUGAAGUGUGGUUUCAAAAAAUUGUAA